UGUGUGUGUGUGUGUGUGUGUCUUAACUUAUGGACUAAAACCUAAUGGACAGAUGUGAAAGAUAAACUGUCUUUUGCAACCUGGAGCUCAUUGUUCAGCAUGAGUUUUGACACACUUAAGACGGUAUU